rnacentral:lncRNA from 1 species
UAAUUGUUCAUCAGUUUGAACCGAAUCUAUGUUCCUCUCAUUUCCUAUAUGCUACUAAUUUUUAAAUUUUAACCAGAAAGAUGAACACGGAAAGCUAUGUUCAGGUAGGCUCAGUGCAGCAGACAGAUGCCCCGAAAUCAUCAAUUCCUGUCCAGCUUUGAUCAGGCCAAGUAAUGUAGCAUUUCAUAGGUACACUUUGCAAGGAAGUUAACAGAACCUCGAACACCGUC